rnacentral:rRNA from 1 species
AACGAACGCUGGCGGCAUGCCUAACACAUGCAAGUCGAACGAGACCUUCGGGUCUAGUGGCGCACGGGUGCGUAACGCGUGGGAAUCUGCCCUUGGGUUCGGAAUAACAGUGAGAAAUUACUGCUAAUACCGGAUGAUGACUUCGGUCCAAAGAUUUAUCGCCCAAGGAUGAGCCCGCGUAGGAUUAGGUAGUUGGUGGGGUAAUGGCCUACCAAGCCGACGAUCCUUAGCUGGUCUGAGAGGAUGAUCAGCCACACUGGGACUGAGACACGGCCCAGACUCCUACGGGAGGCGGCAGUGGGGAAUAUUGGACAAUGGGCGAAAGCCUGAUCCAGCAAUGCCGCGUGAGUGAUGAAGGCCUUAGGGUUGUAAAGCUCUUUUACCAGGGAUGAUAAUGACAGUACCUGGAGAAUAAGCUCCGGCUAACUCCGUGCCAGCCGCCGCAGUAACAC